CAUGCAUGUAUAAGUAUAAACGCUUUAUGCGUGAAACCGCGAACGGCUCAUUACAACAGCUAUAAUUUACUUGAUCUUGACAAACUUACAUGGAUAACUGAGGUAAUUCUUGAGCUAAUACAUGCACCAAAGCUUUGACCGUAAGGGGAGAGCGCAUUUAUUAGAACAAAACCAAACGGCUUCGGCUGUUCCCAGUUGAAUCAGAAUAACUCAGCUGAUCGUACGGUCUUGCACCGACGACGUGUCUUUCAAGUAUCUGCUUUAUCAACUUUCGAUGGUAGGGUAUCUGCCUACCAUGGUGGUGACGGAUAACGGAGGAUCAGGGUUCGACUCCGGAGAAGGGGCCUGAGAAAUGGCCACUACGUCUAAGGAUGGCAGCAGGCGCGCAAAUUACCCACUCUCAGAAUUUGGAGGAGGUAGUGACGAGAAAUAACGAGGUUGAUCUCUUCUGAGGCCAACCAUCGGAAUGGGUACAAUUUAAACCCUUUAACGAGUAUCUAUGAGAGGGCAAGUCUGGUGCCAGCAGCCGCGGUAAUUCCAGCUCUCAAAAUGCAUGGAAUUAUUGCUGCGGUUAAAAAGCUCGUAGUUGGAUCUGCAGCCGGAGCUCCGGUCCAUCUUCGGAUGCGUACUGGAUGUCUUCGGCUUUCUGACAGUGUUCGGCUCUGUGCCUCUAACCAGGUGUGGAUGUCCGAUACUGUAAGUUUACUUUGAAUAAAUCAGAGUGCUCUAAACAGGCGUUUUGCUUGAAUGAUUGUGCAUGGAAUAAUAGAAGAGGAUUUCGGUUCUAUUUUAUUGGUUUUAUAGACUGAGAUAAUGGUUAACAGAGACAAACGGGGGCAUUUGUAUGGCUACGU
rnacentral:rRNA from 1 species